UUUUCUCAAUAGCAGGUUAUGUUAUUAGCCUUAAAAACUUAGUACUACUUAGCGAGAAAAUAGGAGAUUUCCUCUCUAUACCAUCGCACUUCGUCUUUCAAUUUCUUUGGGUUCUUUCAAAUCCGAAUUUCUCUUUUUUCUUUUUCUUGCGGCAGAUUUUUCCUCUAUCAGAGAUAUGGGUUUUAUUUGGUUUCUGAUUAAAUGCAACGAAAAUGGAGAAUUGGGUCAUUGGGACUUGUUAAUUUAUAGCCAAAAGGUUGCAAAGAAGCAUCAAACUUGGGGGUCUUUAUGUUUCUGUUGAAAUUUGAUAUAGAUUUUUCUUUGUUUCUGAUUAAUUGGAAAGAAAAUGGAAAAUUGGGUCAUUGAAGCAUUGUUGUUUUGCGGCCAAAAGCUGCAAAAAAUGCUUUAAAUUUGGGUUUUCCCCCACAUUUUAUCUUUUGUUUUCUUAGCUAAUGGUAUCAUAGAAAAUAAUUUUUUUUUAUGGUCUAAUCUUGGUUUUCCUUUUUGUAGCUUCUGCUGGUGAUGCUUUGAGGAGGAAAUUUUGAGAAAUUUAAUACAAUUUAAAUUGAAUCCAGUUUUGACUCUAGAAUUGUUGUUUUUAGUGAGUUAAAAUGAGCGUUGUAGGUUUUGAUAUUGGAAAUGAGAAAUGUGUAAUUGCUGCUGUAAAGCAAAGAGGUGUAGAUGUGUUGUUGAAUGAUGAAUCGAAACGUGAAACGCCAGCUUUGGUAUGCUUCGGAGAGAAGCAGAGGUUCCUCGGCUCUGCUGCGGCAGCUUCUGCCAUGAUGCAUCCGAAAACUACUGUAUCUCAAGUGAAAAGGUUGAUUGGUAGGAAGUUUCAAGACCCUGAUGUUCAAAAUGAGUUAAGAAUGUUACCAUUUGAAACUUCAGAGGGUCAAGAUGGUGGCAUUUUGAUUCACUUGAAGUAUUUAGGGGAAACACAUCGAUUUACGCCUGUGCAAAUUAUGGCCAUGCUGUUUGCGCAUUUGAAAUAUAUGACGGAGACGAAUUUGGGACUUCCUGUUUUGGAUUGUGUUAUUGGUAUUCCUUCAUACUUCACUGACUUGCAAAGACGUGCAUAUUUGGAUGCUGCUAAGAUUGCCGGGUUGAAACCUCUUAGAUUAAUGCAUGACUGUACUGCGACCGCACUUGGUUAUGGGAUUUACAAAACGGAUUUCUCCAAUGCUGGUCCGACGAAUGUUGCUUUUGUGGAUAUCGGCCAUUGUGAUACCCAGGUCUCGAUUGUAUCAUUUGAGGCUGGACAAAUGAGGAUACUAUCACAUGCUUUCGAUAACAGCCUUGGCGGAAGGGAUUUUGAUGAGAUUUUGUUUGGAUAUUUUGCAGCUUGUUUCAAGGAGCAGUAUAAUAUAGAUGUGUACUCUAAUGUCCGGGCUUCUAUCAGGUUAAGGGCAGCGUGUGAGAAACUGAAGAAGGUUUUGAGUGCUAAUGCAGAGGCGCCUUUAAAUAUCGAGUGUUUGAUGGAUGAAAAGGAUGUCAAAGGUUUCAUUAAGAGGGAAGAAUUUGAGAAGUUGGCUCCCGGGUUGUUGGAGAGGAUUAACAUUCCUUGUACUAAAGCUAUAACCGAUGCAGGGUUAACUGUGGGGAAAGUCCAUGCUGUCGAACUUGUUGGAUCGGGGUCCAGGAUACCAGCUAUAACAAGACAGUUAGCUUCUUUUUUUAGGAGAGAACCCAGUCGGACAAUAAAUGCAAGUGAGUGUGUUGCACGAGGAUGUGCUCUUCAGUGCGCAAUGCUCAGUCCAAUUUUUCGGGUUAGAGAUUACGAGGUUCAAGAUUGUAUUCCAUUCUCCAUAGGGUUCUCUUUGGAUAAAACCCCAAUCUUGCAAGGGUCUAAUUAUGUGUUGUUUCCGAGAGGCCAGCCAAUUCCUAGUGCUAUAGUUCUACAAUUACAGAGAAGUAGUUUGUUUCAUUUGGAACCCUUCUAUGCUAAUCCAAACGAACUGCCUUCUGGUGUACCCUCGGAAAUAAGUUGUUUCACAAUCGGCCCUUUCCAAGCCUCCAAUAGUGAAAGGGCAAGGGUUAAAGUCAAAGUUCAACUAAACCUUCAUGGCAUUGUUACUGUCGAGUCAGCUAUGCUGAUCGAAGAGCAUGUAGAUGAUUCCGAAUUGAGCACAAAGGAAGCCCGGCAUGUAACAAAUGGCAGUGAAGAUGGUACAUAUAUGCAGUCUAAACCAUCAAAUGCUUCAGCUGAUGGUAAGACCAAUGAUAAAACAAUGAGAAGGCUUGAGAUACCAGUUAGUGAAAACAUAAAUGGCACGAUGACAGGGGUUGAGCUUAUGGAAGCUCAAGAUAAAGAACUUAAGUUGGCGCAACAGGACCGGACUAUGGAACAAACAAAAGAGAAGAAGAAUGCCUUGGAAUCUUAUGUCUAUGAAAUGCGGAAUAAGCUUUUCAACACAUAUCGUGGUUUUGCAUCUGAUGAGGAAAGAGAUGGCAUUUCCAAAAGCCUGCAAGAGACUGAGGAGUGGCUUUACGAUGAUGGGGAGGAUGAAACCGAAGGCGCUUACACUUCUAAAUUAGAGGCUCUUAAGAAGUUGGUGGAUCCAGUUGAGAACCGGUUUAAAGAUGAAGAAGCGAGAACACAGGCUUCAACAGAUCUAUUUAAGUGCAUCGCGGAUAUAAGAAUGUCGACGAAAUCUUUGCCAAAUGAGGAUAGAGAAUCGAUAUUGAAUGAGUGCAACAAGGCUGAGCAGUGGUUGACCGAGAAAACUAAACAACAAGACUCUUUACCGAAGAACAUUGACCCACUGUUAUGGUCAAGUGAGAUUAAGAAAAUGACUGAGGAUCUAAACAUGAAAUGUAUGCAUAUAAUGUCGCGGAAGGCUUCUCAUCGGAAUCUAGACAACAAGGGCCGGGACCAGCAAGGAUAAAGAUUAAAGGUGUACGAAGCAUCGACAAGUUUACAGUUUCGCACAUCACACUUAGGGCUGCUUUUUGUUAGAUAUACAUAUAUACACAGGAGGAAUGGUGUAUGUAAGCAUCAGAGUAUUAAUGGUUCUCAAAGACUAGUGUAUUACUAAACAUUUUCAGAAUUACAGAACACCCACAGAUAUAAACAAUGAUGAACAAGAAGUUGACAUUGAAA